AAGGGUUCUCAGGUCCGGCCGCUUCCAUUGUGCCCUUCUGCCCAGUUGGAGGCUGGAACUAGGCAGAGUGGGAGCAGGACAGAAUAGCUGUCUGGGCAGUCAGCCUUCCUAUCAAGCCCAGGAUUCCAGAAAGUCCUUAUCCUUCUCUGACACAGGAACCUCAUUUAUUACAAAGAGUGGACGUCGCUGCCGGUGUUAUUGAGAUAAUGCCUGUAGAGCGUCCCACCCGGAGCCUGGCGUGGACUCGGUGCUCACCACCGCUGAAUGCUGAAGACACAUCAGACCCACCUGCAAUGAGAGGCCCAGCCAGCCCCACCAGCCGGCCCAGUCCCAGCUGAAGGCACCUGCACGGAGCCCAGGGCAGACUGAGAAGAGCCACCUGUCCAACCCACAGAACUGUGAGGAAUAACAACUCCUUGCUUCUUCAGCCGUUCAGUUUUGGCCUGGCUCACUAGACAGCAAUAGAGAACCAUAAUGGGCGAGUACUCUCCUUUGCAAAUCUUGCCCUUCCUUCACAGCCCUGCCCACCUGUCACCUCCUCCACUUCCUCCUGGCUGGAAAUCAUCACUCCCUCCUCUGACCCCCACCGCUCUUUGUUCCCGCUUCCCUUGUGAGCCCUCUAGCAUACUGCCUCUUAGAAUACCAGGCACCUUCCUGAGACACAGGGUACCUUUAUCCCCUGAAUCCUAAUUUACACGUAUUCCACACCAUUCCAGACAUGACAUGCAGUGACUCAUACAUUCAAAAUAUUAUCUUACUAUGUUCACAACACUAGAGGUGAGUAUGGUAGUCCUUCUCAGAUGGCAGAAUUGAGGUUUGGAAAUGACAGGACUUGCCCAGAGUCACUGACAAGGGAUGGGCCAGGAUUUAAACCCAAAUUUACACCUCUCGGCUGUCCCUCCUGUUGUAGUUACGGGUACGAUUUGCUCCUGGAGGGAAAGGAUGCUGCUUCCCUGCUGGAGGGUGAGGGAGUCACGAGUGUGGUCCCCGCUGCGCAUCCUGCCCUUCACUAUUGACAUAUGUCCCAAACCUAGGAAUCCAGAAUCUUCUCGUCAGGGCAUCUGUCCCCGUCUCACCCACCCUGCAGACACACACAAACACGCACUCCUUGUAUUUGGUCUUCAUCCUCUGUGUUGGUCUGCCCUGUGUCCUAAGAUAGCCUCUCAACUUUCUUGCCCAGCAGAACAGGACCAGGGGUGGUAAGCUUGGGGCCGACGGAUCGAGAAGGAUGAGCCAACAUGGCAUUCUCUGGCCCUGUCUCAUCCACCUUCUGGAAAGAUGAGGUAUGGCUGCAGGGCCACAGGGCCAGGCUGGGGGUCCAAAGAGGGGGGGUUGAUGAGCCCUCUCUGUUGGGGAAUGCGGAGGAACAGAAGAAGGCUAAAGUAGAAUCCUUUCGUUUGUUGAACUGACGUUUAUGGUGACUCCCCCAACCUUUCUGUGCCAAGGCCAGGGGCUGAAAUUACAAUGGACGAGUAAGAGGUGCCUCCCAGAGUUCUUCGCCUCUGUAAUGUCAGAGCUGAGACUCAGGGUUCAUCUUAGUCAGUCAGGGAAACUGAGGCUCAGGAGGGCAAAAAGGUCUGCCCACUGCCAGAGGGGAGUGACAGAGCACAGUUCUCCUCCUCCACCUUUUGGGCCCCUGUGGCUGCCAGUCUACAGCUCAGAGGCACCCAAAACGCACAAGCGCUUAGCAUGAGCACAGAGGCUUCAAAGCCACCCGCCCUCGGCGCAGGGAGGGAGGAGUGGGGACAUCCAUGGAGCAGGAUGAGGGAGCUUGUAGGAGACGGGGCUGGAGCAGGCAGCUUCUUUUGUGCUGUUACUCAAGGUCAGGGAAGAAAAACCUGGUGACAGGUGCCACUCUCUGUCUCCUGAAUGACAUGACAACAGGGGACCAAAAGCUCGGAAAUUCCUCUCUUCCAGCCGUCUCUCCCAUUCCCAAAGGAGCAGGCGGAGGAGAGGGAGGCUCUCAAGGGUUUCACAGCAGGGGUGCAAACCACCCACGCCAGAGCCUGGUGACCCCUCCCACUCGCCCCUUGGGGUCCUGGCGUGGUUGGAUCUGCAUAAGUUUGGGAAGGCUGAGAAGAUAUGUUCAACAGACGCCUCCAGGAAGACUUCUCAGAUCACAGCACCUCCCGCUGGACUCCCUAAGGCCAACCCUCUGGGGAGGCGCUCAGCAGAACUCCAGGUGUUGGUCCACGGGGACAUUGUACUUGAGCUUGUGGGCUUCGAAGAGGUCGCACAGCUCCUUGAUAUAGCGCUGGUGCAGCUUGUCCACCUCCUUCUGCGAGGGGUACAGUGUCUUCUGCACCUCAAUGGGCUUUCCCACUGCAAGACACAAAUGUGGGUGUUGGCCCCGAGCAGGAACCGGUGGGUUGCAGGGGCUCUUCCCCAUGGGCAUUCCUGCAGCAAAGUGCUCUUACUGCCAUCCCUUUCAGCCCUAUUUUGGGUGAUGGGUUCUAAGAUGUUAUGGUAACUCCAAGAUUCUGAUAUAACAACACCCAUGGGCAUUGCAAUAUGCCAUGGAAUGUGCCAGGCGCUUGCCACACAUUAUCUCCUUUAAUCCUCGUGACAGUCCUACAGGGAUAGAAGCUUUUACUAUUCCCCAUUGACAGGUGGGGCAACGAGGCUCAGAGGGCUAAGUAACGUUCAAGGUCACAAAGCCAGGAAGAAUCUGUUCCAGUUUUUAAAUCCUGGGCAUAUGCUCUUAAUUUCCUGACCACGUGGUUCUGGGAGCCCAAGAUGCCACGAUUAGAAGUGCCUACAGAUCUAGGAUGAGGUGGGCGCACACCCCACGCAGCUCUUCUUCCUCUUUCUCUCUCCAUCUGGCCUGCAGUGCCUGCUUUGUCCUAGGGAAGCCCUAAGUGACCUCCUUCCUCUGGUUCUGCCUGGCUGGGACGGUAGCUCCCCUGCCUUCUCCUCUUGGGAAUAGCUCUGGUGGCAGCAGCAGGAUUAACCCUCAUGCAAAUAUUGCCACAAGACAUGGGGAAAGUCAUGGUGUAGGGCGUACACCCGGUCUGUGCUCAACUGACAAAUAAAUGGAUGGAUACAGAUGAACCAACGUCCCUCUAUAGGCUUUGUCAGAGGGGUCCAGCUGGGAUCCAAGAAGAAAGCAAAUGAGGGGUCCCAAGAACUGAAAAAGAUGGUGCUGAGUCCAUGCACUAAAGCUCAUGCCCAUUAUUUACAGGAAAAUCCCUCAGGCUCUAAUCCAAGAAUAGCGAUUCCUACUCUACACACAAUUCUAAUUGACUUGGAAUGCCCUUUCGCUGUCUCCACCUUUUCCAGUAAGCCUUAUUAGAGUCUCUGGGUCAGAAUUAAACCCUCCUUCUCUAGCACAAUAAAAACUCAAAGAGAUCCUGAUCCAAUCCUCAACCUUGUUACUCAAAGGCAGCAUGAUCUUUUGCAAGUUACUUAACUUCUCGGAGCCUCAGUUUGCGAUCAGUGAAAUCGGGAUAACAGUCUCUAUCUUGAAGGUUGUUAGGAUAGAUCGAGCUGCUGCAUGUUAGGGAACCUGCCUGCCACCCAGCAGGUACUCUGUAAUCAGUAGUGACUACUGUUCUUUGUGCCUCUGUUACAGUUCCCAUCCCACAGUGCCUUCUAUUAAGGCUUAUCUGCUUGAUAAGCAGUGUCUGUUUCCCGGUCUAGAAUGUGAGCUCCAGGAGGGCAAGGAUGUGUCUCAUUCAUCUCCAUGUCCCCUUGCAGCCCAUAGCCCAGGCCUCUCUCCCUGUAGGCCCCACCCCCCACCCCUGGCCAGGCCAGCUCACGGCUCACCCACGGUGGUGAUGGGCUGGCGGUAGGGCAUGAGACCGAAGCUGUACUGGAAGACGCCACGGCCAUGGAAGAGCGGGAGGGAGAUGCCCAUGAUCUUCUGCAGCCGGUUCUGGAUCCUGCGCAACCAGGAGCCAGGAGAGUUCGCAACCUGGUCAAAGAGCUCAUUCUCCCCGAAGGAGAAGAUCGGCACCAGGGCUGCCCUGGAGAGAGACAGGAGAGAAUACCAGUGGAAGGUCCCACAGAAGGCCCCAGCUAGCUUCCUGCAGGGACGGAGCAACCAGGAACUAGAGCAGAGGACAGAGCCCUGGGCCAGCAGUAGGAGGCCUGGGUUGUCUCCCAGCCCUGCCAUAGCUUUGCUUUCUGACCGUGGGCAGGUCCUGGCCCCUCUCAGGACCACAUUAGGACAGAUAGACCAGAAUGCUUCAGAGAGUCCUCCCAGAUAUAAAACAUCUGUGAGUUCUGUAGAAAAAUCUCCCCGGCCCCAGCUAGCUUGUGUUCUUCAAAGAUGCUUCGAAGUAGAGCAGCUCUGUGAUAUGCCCCGAACUCCAUCCUCCCAGAUCCCAUAGAUGUCAGAUCCAGUGCCAGCUUUGGGCAGACAUGUCCCUUCCCACCUAGUGCCUUUGAUCACCACGCCUCCCUUCUGAAAUCUUCUCUGGGUAUUUGGGCAUGCCAUAGUACAUUUCUCACCAAAAUAUAAUCUUCGCUGUAAAUAGACUGAGAAUCUCCCCACCAAAAUAUAAUCUGCACUAGUCUCUGCUGUCUUCCUGCCAAUCUCCCCUGGAGCCGAGAGCCCUCUCCCCAGAUACCCGUGCAUCAGUGCGAGCCUGACAAAGCCCUUGCGGUUCUGUAGCAACAGCGUGGAGGAUCUGGGCCUGGCGUUCAGAGCCUCCUGGGCACCCCCUACAAUGAUGGCCAGCAGAUUGCCACCUUCCUUCCUGCUCAGAAUGUGAGCAGCGCUCUCCUUGUCUGAUGUGACGAGCCCUGGGAACAGAGGAAGGUGGUCAGCCUCAUCCUCCUGGACUACCCAGAGGUGUAAAGACUCACCCGCUGACAUGAUGUAAUCCCUGAAGAAAGGGACCCGGAACCAAAGGGUCAGCAUCAUCAGAUGGGAGCGGAUGCCGGGGAAGAGUGAAGGGAAGCCCGUGCUCUCUGUGCACAGGUUGACAAAGGCUCCGGCCGCCAGGACCCCGUGGGGGUGGAAGGCCGCAAGGUAGUUCCGGGAGGGGUCCAGCUCAGCAGUCUUGACCAGCUGCAAGGACAAUAACCCAGUGAGCCAGAGCGGGACCUGCGUGCCAACCCUGACCGUGCCACCCAUCAGUGUGACCUUGGGCAAGUCGCUCCCCCUCUCUGAGCCUCAGCUUCUCAGGAAUACUGAGACACAGUAUGUGAAUGCAUCCAGGGACACCGUCUCAGAUUCACGGCUGGCUUUGGACAAACUGCUUCCCUCUCAGGCUCUUCCUCUGUAAAACGGGGACAUUUAGCCCUGUCCUGCCUACCUCCCAGGACUGCUGAGAAGCUCGGGUCUGUGGUACCCUGAAAUUACCAAGAUUACUACAGGACCAGAUAUCAUUUGAAGGCAUCAAAAGGACACGGGGGCGCCAUCAUGCUGGAAGAGCCUGGGUUUAACAAAACUCAGUAUGAGAAAAAUGGGCACUUAAGCCCUGGGAGUGAGCAUUAGCAAGAUAUAGCAGGAGUGGUUGAAAGAGCAUGCAGUCCAGAAGGCUGGCUCCAGGCCUAUUUACCCUUCCAUGCAAUGCAAGUGUCCCCCUGGGGCUCCCCGCUCCCCCUACGCCAGACCUUCAUUGCCUCUCGACCAUUCUCUUACCCCAGCCAUGGGCUCUGCUGGCAAGCAACUUGCCAGGGUCUGGGCAGGCCUGCAGCAUGGAGCGGGAGGUAGGGACCACCAGUUAUUGCAGAUGGCCUGGGGGAGGAGAGCUGUCGUCUUUAGCAGCUCCCAGGUGAAGGGGGAUGGGGGGGGGGCAGGAAAUGAGCUAACAAAUGCUGUUCUCAGCCCGCCCAUCACUGCACAGGCUGCUCCGUGGUCCAGUCCGCAAAGAUGAUUGCUGCGGGCUGUGAUUGUGUGUGUGUGUGUGUGUGUGUGUGUGAAUGGGGGCAAUCCCUCCCCCACCCUGCCAGGACCGCAGGCCCACCCUUCACACUGCCCUACACUCUGGGAGCCAUAGCCAUGAGAGUCUGAAGGCCCCUGAGGCCCCUGGGCCAUGCCCCGAGCCCCUGGCAGGAGGCCCCCUGAUAGAACUGUCCAGUCCCCGCAAUCGCCCUCCCGGCCGCGGGGCAGCCCUUUCCACCCUGACUCAGCUUUGCCACGGUGAAAGUUCAUCCUGUCAUCGAGCUCAAACUUGCAGCGGGUGGCUCCCUGAGGAUUCUUGCUGCUGCCUUUGGGGCCCCAGAGGCCUGGCUGCCUGCCCUCAGAGCGGCCUGGAGGGGCCUGGAGGGACCUGGGGGGCAGCAACGGGGAUCUGAGCCCAUCUGCCCCAUCCAGGCCGAACAGCCCCAAAUUGUCUUGGACGUCACCUGGACUUGGUUUCUGCAACCCACCCUCCUGCCCAGUAUGGGCCCCAGGCACCCACUGACCCUUUGCAGAAACCUGCAGGGCCCACAGUUGGAGGGACCAUCGCCUCCCACACGAGGACAAACCUCUUCUGCUCACGCGGUAGGGACUUCCUAGAUGUGAGGAUAAAGCCGGAGCAGCGAAAUCUCUGGUUAUCCUCCGUGGGAAAGGUGCUUGCUCGGGAACCCGUCUGGUGGCGUUCCCCCACAAACCCACCUGGCUCCCCGCCCUGACUCACGGGCACACGAAUUCUUUCUCGGCCAGUGGGAAGGUGAUUUUGUACAAGCUCUGGAAAGACGAUUUGGCAACAGCUAUGACAACCUAAAAUCGUGACUAACCUUUUAACCCAGCAACUCACUGCUAGUUUCUUGUGCUUGCGCAAAAUGACACGUGAACGAGAUUAUUACCCGAAGCAUAAGGUUUGGUACUAUCCAAACCUCGGCACCCCCUCCAGUGCCCAUCAACAGGGCCCGCUGAGACAAAUUCCCAAAACAUCCACACAGUGGGCCACAGGGCAGCCCUCGGGAAGUAUGAGGAAGAUCUCCCUGGCUUGGUGGGGGAAGAUGGCCACAGUCACUGGUCAGGACAAAGCAAAGGGCAAGACAUCGUGGGCAGAACAUCCCUGACUGUGCUGGGAAAGGGGACAUGCACUUGUUCAUAUGUGGACACACCGAAUGCUAGUUGUCCUAGUUACCUCUGGGGCAGGGACUUUUCACCCACAUACCCCCUCGUCCCUUUGGAAUUUUGAACAAGAAUGUAGUACCUAUUAUCCUUAACGAAGAAGCCUUUGCACUUCGAGAAAUACCCGGCUGAAUGUGAGCGUGUGCAUCUGGGCACGAGUGCCUGUAUUUGCCGUGCAUUUACAUGUGCGUGUCCAAGCGGGUGCGCUGCUGGGGUCAUCCCUGUCCGCACGUCCCUAGACAUGGUCUCUGCUGCUGUCCUUCUGUGCCCCCCUUUUCUAUCUGUCCCCUGUGCCCAAGGGAUAGCACUGCCUCACCGUGAGGGCCGUGAGAGUAGAGGCCACCCGUCGGCUGCACCUCCUGACCCAAGCACAGGCGUGGAACAGAGGAGA